rnacentral:rRNA from 1 species
GACGAACGCUGGCGGUGUGCUUAACACAUGCAAGUCGAACGGAAAGGCCCUGCUUUUGUGGGGUGCUCGAGUGGCGAACGGGUGAGUAACACGUGAGUAACCUGCCCUUGACUUUGGGAUAACUUCAGGAAACUGGGGCUAAUACCGGAUAGGAGCUCCUGCUGCAUGGUGGGGGUUGGAAAGUUUCGGCGGUUGGGGAUGGACUCGCGGCUUAUCAGCUUGUUGGUGGGGUAGUGGCUUACCAAGGCUUUGACGGGUAGCCGGCCUGAGAGGGUGACCGGCCACAUUGGGACUGAGAUACGGCCCAGACUCCUACGGGAGGCAGCAGUGGGGAAUAUUGCACAAUGGGCGGAAGUCUGAUGCAGCAACGCCGCGUGCGGGAUGACGGCCUUCGGGUUGUAAACCGCUUUCGCCUGUGACGAAGCGUGAGUGACGGUAAUGGGUAAAGAAGCACCGGCUAACUACGUG